AAGUCGUAACAAGGUUUCCGUAGGUGAACCUGCGGAAGGAUCAUUACAGAAUGAAAAGUGCUUAACUGCAUUUUUUCUUACACAUGUGUUUUUCUUUUUUUGAAAACUUUGCUUUGGUAGGCCUUCUAUAUGGGGCCUGCCAGAGAUUAAACUCAACCAAAUUUUAUUUAAUGUCAACCGAUUAUUUAAUAGUCAAAACUUUCAACAACGGAUCUCUUGGUUCUCGCAUCGAUGAAGAACGCAGCGAAAUGCGAUAAGUAAUAUGAAUUGCAGAUAUUCGUGAAUCAUCGAAUCUUUGAACGCACAUUGCGCCCUUUGGUAUUCCAAAGGGCAUGCCUGUUUGAGCGUCAUUUCUCCCUCAAACCCUCGGGUUUGGUGUUGAGCGAUACGCUGGGUUUGCUUGAAAGAAAGGCGGAGUAUAAACUAAUGGAUAGGUUUUUUCCACUCAUUGGUACAGACUCCAAAACUUCUUCCAAAUUCGACCUCAAAUCAGGUAGGACUACCCGCUGAACUUAA
rnacentral:rRNA from 1 species